rnacentral:rRNA from 1 species
CGGGGGUUUUGGCCUUACAAAUGCAGUCGAACCACGGCUUCGUACCUUCCUGGCGCACGGCGUGCGUAACGCGUGGGACUCUGCCCUUGGUUUCCGAUAACCCUUGGAAACUACUGCUAGUACCGGAUGAUGUCGCGAUACCAAAAAUUUAUCGCCCAGGGAUGACCCCGCGUCAGAUUAGGUAGUUGGUGGGGUAAAGGUCUACCAAACCAACGAUCCGUAGCUGGUCUGACAGGAUGAUCCCCCACACUGGGACUGAUACACCGCCCAGACUCCUACGGGAGGCAACAGUGGGGAAUAUUGGACAAUGGGCGAAAUCCUGAUCCAGCAAUGCCGCGUGAGUGAUGAAGGCCUUAGGGUUGUAAAGCUCUUUUACCCGGGAUGAUAAUGACAGUACCGGGAAAAUAACCUCCGGCUAACUCCGUGCCCCCCGCCGCGGUAAUACGGAGGGACCUAGCGUUGUUCAACAUUACUGGGCGAAAACCCCCCGUAGGCCGCUUUGUAAAUCGGGGGUGGAAUCCUGGAACUAAAAUCCAAAAAUGCCUUUGAGAAUGCCUCCCCUCGAUCCGGGAGAAGUGAUUUUGAAUCUCCCAGUGCAAAGCCCCAAAUUCGUAAAUAUUUCGGAAAAACACCCCGUGGCCAAGGCGCGCUCACUGGACCGGAUAUUUUACUCUUAAGUUUUAAAGGGGGGGGGACCCCAGGGGAUUUUAUACCCUGUGGGGCUCCCACACCCUUAAACAAUAAAAACUAAAUUUCCCGGGCAAUUGGGGGCCCUUGGGCGGCCGCCGCUUUACCCCUUAAAUUUUCCCCCCUUUGGGAACUACCACCCCCCAAAGUUUCAACCCCCCACUCCAAUUAUUCUCGGCCCGCCCCCCUCACGGGGGGGCUUCUUGGUGUUUUAUUUUUUCAAAACUUUCCCACACCAUUUUUUAACAAUUGUACAUGCGUGGGGCUGUUUUCCCCAGAUAGGGUGCACAAACCCUUCUCUGCCACCCCAAAGAUAAAGCGCGGGGGCGGGCGGGGCAGUAAAUCCCGGGGUGAUAAUUUUUCUGGGUGUGGUUUCUCCCACACGACGCGGGGGCACAAAAACCCAUUUUUUUUACCCUUCUACUAUCCUUUUUCGUUUCUCCCCCCUACGGAGAACUGGCACGCGGGGAAAGUCUCUCUCCCCCCAAAGAUGUGAGGGAUGUUAUGUACUAACGGCUUACUCGUCCGAUUGGGCACCGGGUGGGGCGGCGUGCCCCUCCCUCCAAUGUGGUGGGAGUUAGACCUCGUCACCUAGUCGAUGGACACCCCUCCGAUCCUGGGCCUGCCGAGGAGGG